rnacentral:rRNA from 1 species
UGAGGAAUAUUGGACAAUGGGCGGGAGCCUGAUCCAGCCAUGCCGCGUGCAGGAAGACGGCCCUAUGGGUUGUAAACUGCUUUUAUACGGGAAGAACAUGGGCUACGCGUAGCCUUUUGACGGUACCGUAAGAAUAAGGAUCGGCUAACUCCGUGCCAGCAGCCGCGGUAAUACGGAGGAUCCGAGCGUUAUCCGGAAUCAUUGGGUUUAAAGGGUCCGUAGGCGGAUUUGUAAGUCAGUGGUGAAAGUUUGCGGCUCAACCGUAAAAUUGCCAUUGAUACUGCAAGUCUUGAAUAAUUGUGAAGUGGUUAGAAUAAGUAGUGUAGCGGUGAAAUGCAUAGAUAUUACUUAGAAUACCGAUUGCGAAGGCAGCUCACUAACAAUUGAUUGACGCUAAGGGACGAAAGCGUGGGUAGCGAACAGGAUUAGAUACCCCCGUAGUUCC